rnacentral:rRNA from 1 species
AUUGAACGCUGGCGGCAUGCCUUACACAUGCAAGUCGAACGGUAACAGGUCUUCGGAUGCUGACGAGUGGCGAACGGGUGAGUAAUACAUCGGAACGUGCCUAGUAGUGGGGGAUAACUACUCGAAAGAGUGGCUAAUACCGCAUGAGAUCUACGGAUGAAAGCAGGGGAUCGCAAGACCUGGUGCUACUAGAGCGGCCGAUGGCAGAUUAGGUAGUUGGUGGGAUAAAAGCUUACCAAGCCGACGAUCUGUAGCUGGUCUGAGAGGACGAUCAGCCACACUGGGACUGAGACACGGCCCAGACUCCUGCGGGAGGCAGCAGUGGGGAAUUUUGGACAAUGGGCGAAAGCCUGAUCCAGCAAUGCCGCGUGCAGGAUGAAGGCCUUCGGGUUGUAAACUGCUUUUGUACGGAACGAAAAGCCCCGGGUUAAUACCCUGGGGUCAUGACGGUACCGUAAGAAUAAGCACCGGCUAACUACGUGCCAGCAGCAGCCGCCG